rnacentral:lncRNA from 1 species
CCUGCAGCUCCUCAACCUCCCCUUGUCUGUGGGUCUCCAUCAGCUUUGGGUCCUUGGGCCAGGUUGCCUCAUUCCCAUCACCCCGCCAAGCCUGGGCCCCGGGCUUCACCCCUCACCCCCUGCCCUACCUCGCUCCAGGCUGGACACAGCCAUGCCCUCAUGGGCUCCCCCUGCUCUGCUGAUCCUGCUGUCUCCAUGGCGAUGGAAGCUUUGGAGAGCUGGGGCUGAGCCCCUGGAGGCCUAAGCUGGAGUUGGUGCACAGUCCCUCCCGGAAAACUGUGGCUCCUGUAAUUCAUUUGGGGGCGUGAGGUGAAGACGGGGCCAGCGCCCCUGGGGCAGCUGAGACCAGGGCGGGGAAGACCAUAAAUCAGGCAGGAGCCAGUGCCCGGUGCCCCAAGCAAAAACUGGAGUGAAAUGUACCUGCCAAGGGUGAGAAAACAGCAAACACACAGAGCAGCACCAAGAAAUCGUCGCCCUGAGAUGACGGGAGCAGACGUAUGACUGGCAAUGGCAAGAGCAAAACACAUGAGCGGAUUUUCCCCUCGCAGCCUCAGAUCUGCUUUCUGUCCUUGUGGGUUUGCCUCCUCUGGGUA